UACAGGGGGUGCAAACGUUGCUCGGAAUCAUUGGGGCGUAAAAGCGCACGUAGGCGGUUCGUUAUGUCGGAUGUGAAAGCCCUUGCUUAACCGAGGAAGUGCAUCCGAAACUGGCGAGCUAGAGUACGAAAGAGGAUCGCGGAAUUCCCGGUGUAGAGGUGAAAUUCGUAGAUAUCGGGAGGAACACCGGUGGCGAAGGCGGCGAUCUGGGUCGAUACUGACGCUGAGGGUGCGAAAAGCGUGGGGAGCAACAGG
rnacentral:rRNA from 1 species